UUUUUCUGUGAAGCUUUGGUAAUAAAUAUGCUAUACUUGAAAUGAGGAAGAUGAGCAUGGCCCCUGGGCAAGGAUGAUGAAAAUUCAUGAAGCAUUCCAAAUUUUU